rnacentral:lncRNA from 1 species
AGAAGCCUAUUAAGAUUCGGUUGGAAUUGAAAAAGAAGCAGAAAUAUUCUUUAUUUCUUGGAGUUCCUAAGCAUCAUCUUCUUCACUUAGGAGGAGAGUAAUUAACUGGACCACUGAGUUGUCUUUUCAUUUGUUGUUGUUGUUUUAUAUAAAGAAGAAGGCGAUCGAUAUUUUUUUCAUAACCAAGUAAUGAAAUUUGUCACUUAUUGUUGCACAUUUAGACAAGGUAGGACAAAAAAGUUAUGGAGAAAGAAGAAGUCCACGGAGCUUUUAACCAGCUAACAGAACAUGACCCUCAAGAAAAAGUGAACCAUCUACAGGUGCAUGGCUACUGUUGCAAACAGGUUUCAGAUUGGAGCUAAAUAUCUCUGCAUCACAGGCUAUAGAUAUAGAUGGAGCUCAUUUAUGGACAAAAUUUUAUUAAUAGUUUGACAGCUGAAGAGUUGUUGUAGAUCUUGAUAGGAGUGGUCCCUAAUAUAAAAUUAUACAAAAUAUAAACAGCCAAUCUGACAAUAAAAUAGUAAUUACUAAAGCAGAUAUAGGAAUUUUGAAUUACCUGAUGGAAUAUCUGGUGAGCUCCUCCACUUAGACUUGCAAAUUGCACUAUUAAAACCUGCACUUUGAAGACGUCUGCAGACCUCUUUCAUCAGACAAUUUUUGCAACCGUCAGCAUUAGUUGCUCUUCCGCAAUUACAGAUCAGAUUCCCCGACUGUUGUACUUCUUUUACUGCUUCUUUUGUGACAGUUCUGAUUUUUGAUUCUACAGAACUUGUUCUGCAUAAUGUACCCUGAACCAAUAACACUUCACAAAUGUUAAUACCAAUUAUAGUUCCUCCUGAGAGAUCAAAGGAUAUUCGAGACAACAAUUCAGAACAUCAGAAUAUCAAAGAGGACUUGUUAAAUGAAAAAAGGAAGUAAAUUCAUGCAAUAUUGUAAGGCUUGAACAUGAAUUUUCCGUUUCCACAUUCUUCAUUUGAUAAUUGAUAUUGCCGCCAUCAUUCGCAAGCUUGUUUAACUUUUGAAGUACUAUUUCUCAUUCUUCUUUAAGUAUACUUAAAAUUCUAUGUAAUGUGCUGAAUUUGGAGAAUCAAAAAUGGAAUUCAGGACCAUGCAUGACAAUUUUGUGGAUUUGAGGCACGUUGAUGAAUCAAAAGAAGAACAAUGCCUGUAAUUCUCAAAGAAAAACAGAUAGAGAAAGAAAGGAAUCUUACUUGCAACAGCUGAUUUUGUGAUUCCCAAAAACUUUUAUCUCGAUCAUUCGCUGGAACGUCUUUCUCUUCGUUAUUAUCGUCGUCCUGGAUUUCAUAUUCACCAUUGUCACUAAAGCUGCCAACCAACGACCCUUCACUUUCUUCAUCAAGAAAUCUGAAAACUGUAUCCGGUAUAUGGAUCGCGGGGUCACCGGAAUACUCAAUUUCCCGAUUAUCCCACGUCAAAAUCCGGUGAUUUCUGGAAAUUCUAGCCAUUGCUUCAGCCGUUGGUUUAUGCUGUCACAAUUUUUCUAAUAUUUUGGGUUGUCUUUCCAAAUCUUUGGAAAUGGGUAUAUAUACAAAGGCCAGACGGUAUGUGGGACCCCGUUAUCCGCUGUGGCACGAUCAAACCCUAGGAACAUGUUUGCCCUGCACUGCAUCUAGGUGGCGCCGUAUUAUUGGUUAAGCUCCAUCAAGUAAGGUCAAGUUCGGCGGACCAGACAGCCAGGAUCCACGUCAGGAGCUGGUCAAUUAUUUGAUCAACUCAACUCUUGAAGCUUGUGGAUAUGCUCGAAUAUUCGGGAAAUUGUAGUUUAAGGCUCUCCAGGGAAAAAAAAUGUAGAUCCCCCCUGAAUUUUAUACCUAUAUCUCAAAUUCAUACACCUAAACUACCUGAAAUAAUUUGAUUACAUUAAAUUGAUCCCUUCAAUACUUAUACUUUUAAUGCAAAUAUUGCAAUCUCACUUUAUUAUUCUUGAUUGUUUAUUUUAAACUGCGUAAUAUGUCAAUUUAACUUUUAAUUUCUGACAUCAAUUCAAGAAUGUGAACAACAACAAUGUUGAUACUUCAAUUGAGAGCUAAAAAAUUUGGGAACUAAAUCUUUCUAGUUGAGCUAUGAGCUAAAGUAAGCAUUUGUAUAGAGAAUAAUUUUUGAGCUCUAAUAUGAGUAGAAUGUGGUGAACAAUACACAUCUAAGAAUAAACUUUAAGGAAAAAAAUGUUUUGCUUUAAAAACCACGAGUGCUUUUGCAAAGUAGCCAUAGUUGAAGAACAAGCUACUUUUAUUACUUGAUAUAUAUAUAUAUAUAUAUUUCUAAAGAAAUUGCAAUUCAAUGUAAGUAAUGGGGAAAAAAAGAAAAAAAAAUGUAAGUAAUGGGGUCUUGUGGUACAAUGAGAUAGUCAGCAAGAAUAGAAGGGGCAAACCGCAUAUUUCCAAUCUUUAUGUUGCCAUUAUUUGGUCAUCCUAUCCUAAUCUUGAACUGGUGGGACCAACAAUAAUGUGGAAAUUGGAUCUCUAUUGAACGUGGCAGAAUCCUGAUCGUCAAUUCUUUAGGUUUAUCCAAUGAGGUGGGACCAACUGGGAUGCGCUACCUAACGUCAAACAACAAUGAUGUUGCCAUACGCGGCGUCUUGCCCAUGGUUUUGGUUGUCGGCCUAUGGACGAAACUGACCAUGGAUAAGUUCGAAAUUUAGAAUAUAGGUAGGGUAAUUCCGGUAAUUAAAAUAUGCGAUGAUUGGGAGUAAGAACGGAGCGAAAAAGGCAAAAACGAAAAAAGAUUAAAAAAAUGAGGAUGGCAUCUUCUUUAUUUUACAUGUGAAUAUUCUUUUUUUUUUUUUCAACAAAACAAACGGUAAUAAAAAAAAAAAAAAGAGGACGGCAUUGUCCCGUCAACGUCAAUAUAUAUUAGAAUUAUUAAUUUAAAAAUAAAUACUUAAGUAGAAUAAGUAAUCUUGCACCCAACAACAACAACAAAAAAAAAAAAAAAAAAAAAAAAAAGAAGAAGAACGUGAACUCUUGGAUGGAUUUAACAGUUGUGAGUAUGAUCAAUUCCAUCAGACUUCAAACAUAAAUUUAACAAGACUAAUUGGGUUUCCCAUGUUUCAUUCAUUUUCACGAAAGAAAAGGAGACCAAUCGUUGACACACAUGGAAUGAAUAUCCAUGGAUAACGUUGUUGCAAUCUCGUUAAUUAGUUCUUCAAAUGCCAGCUCCAUGCUACUUACACGGACGGACACGUACAUUCUGCAGGUUAACCUGCGAGCGACAAAUGCAGAAGUUAACGGCUGACAGAUUGCAGUUCUCGUCUUCCACGUAUCUUAUCAAUUUCAUUUUCAACCUUCCUGUUCUUUAUAUCUUUCGUCACUUCUCGUCCUCGAUUUAGUGGCUUACAAUUUUAAUUCUCAUUAAAAGUUCACGUGAUUUGACUUUGUUACCAUCGAUCAUAACAUGAGAAAUAAACACUGGUUCAUAACUUGUACUGCUAUGAUUCAUUCAUUUGCUAUUAAUGCAAGCUCAACAGAAAUUACUGGGGAGGGGCCAUUUUCUUUGAUUUCCCUCCAUAGAAACUUGUACCCUUCAGUUAGCCAGGUGUUGGCUGCAGCUUGGUUUCCAGUUUACACCUCUAGAUACAGUGGAUGAUGAAAUGUGGCAAAACCAUUCUAAACCUACCACAUGGGUGGGCGCAAAUACAUCAUUCAGCAUCAAAAGACAAAAUUGAUGCGACCAGUCACUUCAAUCAAAAAAAAAAAAAAAAAAAACUGAACAAAAGGUCUGUCUGGAUAAUAUGAUGGGAUAAUCCUCUAGCAUGUACCUAAACCAAUUGAGAAGACAAUAAUAAAAUAUCAGUUACCAGAUAAAUUAUCUUGCGUGCCAAUAGCGACCCGAAAGCAAUGAGGAAGCAUCUUUGAACCAUGACAUAUUAUUAAUUAAAGACAAUUUAAUUAGUUAAGGACAUCGCCUUUCCAAGAAUUUACUGGCAAUACGUGUAAGGCACCUAAAUUUAUUUGCUAUCAUGUGUAUAAUGUUGAAAACCAUAUAUUUAAAUUGAAGUAACUUUUUGUUGACAUUACAAUUUUCUUUAACAUAUCUUCAAGUGUAUUUUUAUGUAUGGUCUUAAAAAUGAAAAAGAAGGCUAUACUUUGCUUCUUUUUUUUUUUUUUUUUGUUUAUAAAGGAUUUCUAUAUGUUUGAUCCUGUGAUUCUUAAUUAGACGAUUCAAAUGUCAUAUGUGAUGUUGCAUGGAUAAAAGCUUAGUCGACUCUGAUGUGCGAAUGUCACAAAUACGCGGCGUCUUGCCUAUGAGAUAAGAGUACGAAAUUCUACCUGUCGGCAAUUAAAAUAUGUCAUGCGUGAUUAGGACAGACCGAAUUGAUAAGGGGGAAAAAAUAAUGGGAUGCCAAAUUGUAGUUGCAACCAAUGGUGUUAAAUUCGGAUCGGAUAGCGACUCCGUUAAACUAUUGGGUGGGUCGGAUUAGCGAACCGUUCUCAAAAACUUGCUGACGUCAACAUGAUGUUAUAAUUAUAUUGUAUUUUUAUAAGUUUCUGAAAUAUUGAAAUUAAGUUCUUGGUUAUAUUUGGCCAAUCAUGAAAAAUGUUCCAAAAAUAUUAUACUUGCAAUCAAAUAUACACCUUUAUAUAUAAAAAUGUAAAUUCAUGGUUAAAAUAUAUCCAUUCUCCAAACCUACUUGAAAAACUAAAUUAAAACAAAUUAAUGCAAGUUGGAACCACUGAAGCUAAAUUAAUGAGAUCAUAGGAAUGAAAACAUCUUGAUUUAGAGAUCAUUUAGGAAAGCGAGUAAUUUUGAUAUUUGUACUAAAUGGAUGACUUUUUUAUUUAAUAAAUGAAAAUGUUACAAUUUAGGUAACUCAAUUUAUAUUUGGGGAAAAGAAGAAAGAAAAGUUUGAAAAUCGGGUUAACCAGUCAAAUUGGGUCACUUGUUUAACCAAUUUUUGAUGGAUUUGAUUGAUUUUUUUAUUAAAGCGGUUUUAUACUAUAAGCUAGUUUGGAAAGAAGCCCGGUUUACGGUCGGACCGGUCGAUAUAGUCUGGGUCUAACAACACUAGUUGCAACGGUUAACGAAAUGAAGUUCUGGCUAAUUUCUGGACAUACAAUUCAUAGAAACUUGUACACUUGGUGAUCCAUUUAGGGCAGCAAAUUUAGCCAUGUGUUGGCAGCUAGAAACUUGUACAAACCGUUGAUUCAGCAUAAAAUGACAGAAGCUGGUAGGACCAGUUGGUAUACAUGACUCUCACCAUCAUUUCAGUAGAAAUUCUAACUUUUGUAGUCACAAAAAAAAAAAAAAAAAAAAAGAACGUGAACUUUGGCCCUGAAAUUAAUUUUCUAUUCACGGAUAUUUUUCAUUUGGUAAUUUCUGCAAACUUCGUGACCAAACUGCAUCUGGUAGCGGUUGGCGAUAAGCAUUCACUCAAGUUGCUUGCAGAAAAGAGUGAGUUAGUAAUAAACUUCUACCAUAUUAGAUGCUCGUUUUUAUGAUGGAGCAUUCAAGGUAGACGCACUCAGCUUGUGUUAACAAGUGAUAAUCUUUAAGUGCAAUAAUGCUGUCAAAGAGGUAAUGGAUAUUCUGAUGCGAUAAUCCUCUUGCAUGCACCUAAACCAAUUGCAUACGAUAUUACCGGAAAAAAUCAUCUUAUCUGUCAAUGUAAUAGCUACCAAAAGGAAUAAGCAACCUACCAUUCAUUCAGAAUUCCAUCAAAAUGGUUAUCUAUUAUGGCGUCCUCUGAACAUUAACUCCUUGUAUUGUAGGCCAAAAAUAGCGUAUAGAGUGAUCUUUUUGGCACUAUUAUCAAGAAGAAAACGUAACGUAUAGAAAUUGAAUGCUACAUGAACUCCAAAAGGUGAGCCAAACGAAUGCAGUUCAAGAUAUCCAUGAAGACGGAAUAAGGUUUUGUUUGGGAAUCAAAUCAACGUUUGACUACUUCUGCUCAGGUUUCCAGCAAAACAAAAUAAUUAAUGGCGCAACCAGCAGCUUUUUUUUUUUUUUUGUACUUUAGUUCUUAAAUAUAUGAAACAUAGUUGUGAGGGUCUGGAUCCUAUUAUUACAAGCUUACGAUUUUCUGACCCAAUUACAAUGCUGAUAGGAUUGCUAGAUUUAGAUAAAUGUUAAUUAAACCAUUAGAAUCUUCGUAUUUUAUGUCAAUUAAUUUGUGACAUAAGAGAAUGUUUGAUAAUGCAGGAUUUAAAUGUCAUAUUUGAUCAAUUUAAACAAAUCAUUGUUGCUUUCUUUUUUAUGUUUAGUCCACAGAUAAAAUUAAAUGUGUGGCACCUAAAAUUAUAUGGUACUAGAAUGUAAUGUUGAAAACCAUUACUUUAAGUAGAAAUUUUUUUGUUGUUCAAUUUACACUUUUUUUUUUAAACAUUUCUUAACAUCUAUUUCGUGUAUUUGCAUAAAGGCAAAUAGGAUCUUACAAUCCUACAUGUCCAGCCUUGUGAUUUCUAAAACCAUCUGGAACCAAAUUAUAGAAACCAUAUAAAAAUGAGAUGCUAUUUGUUUAGAUUUGAAGGAGUCGUGUAUGUCGUUGUUGGUGGAAACUACACUUUUGCUGAGUUUUGCACUGUGGUUUUGAUUUUUUCCCUAAUUAGAAAAAAUUAAGAAUUCAUGGGCAUUUUCUCGCACAAUUGUUUGCUGGACUACCUAAACAAAAUUAUUCACUUCUACAAAAUUAUCCUAGUGCCAUUGAUACAAUUGGUUAUUUUUAUUUUUGCUAAUACCUUUUCUUUCCCUGAAAAAAAAAAAAGAAUAAAAUCCCAAAUUCAAGUUCAAGAAAGAACUCUAAAUUUGACAUCAAAAUCGAAACUCUUAUUUCUACAUAGGAAAACUCCAAUGACGAAAAUUCCAAACUAAAUCCUUUUAAGUAAAGAGACCCUAGAAUUAUGAAAGAGAAAUGAUUGUUGCUGGACUGCCUAUUGUCCAGCUCCUCCACCUUGUCUGAGGAGGAGAAGAGAAGUUAAAAGGUUUGCUCCAAAACUUAAUUAAAUCCUCCUACCCAGCAAUUUGUCAGGAAAACAAAAUAUACCUUCCUAAAGAUUUGUUUGCGCCUAGCCUACCACACUCAUUAGUCUUCUCCUGGGGUUUGUGAUAUGAGUAUUAAUAGUUACAGGCGCUACAAAUGGUGGUUCAUAAAGUCUUGAUAAUUUAAAGAAUACUACUAAUCUGAUAGUGUUUUACAUUACAGAGAAAAUAUCCCUACUUGCACAGCUUCUUCUCCUCGUCUGUCUUUGGUGUAGUCUAACACCACCCACAACUUCUCUCUACUCCUGCAUCCACCAUGGCAGCCAUCCACUUUCUAUUACCAAAUCAAUAUCAAUCCACAAAUUACUUUCUCAUGGCACCAUUGAAUAAACAUAUUCAAAUUCUUGUUAAAUGUAUCAGGGAAUGGUAGAGUGCCACCAUUAAUCAAUUAAAAAUAGGAAAUGUAUAAGAAGAACGUAGGAUGGCAGGUAGGAACUGGGGUAUCAGUAGAGAGAGAGGCAAGGGAAUUAAAAAGAGAAAGAAAAGAGAGAAAAAAAAAAUUAAGGGAGGUGGUGAUAGGCAUACGGAGGAGGCAGAGGAGUAUGGGAUUGCAGGGAAGGGUGUUGGGAAGUUGGAUUUUGGGGAGUAGCAGGAGAGAAGGAAAAUAAAAUGAGAAACAUCUUGGUUGGAUAAAUAUUAACCGGAUUAGCCGGUAACCAAUAUUAGCCGAAGAGGGGUGGGAUUUAAGAAGCGGGAAGGGGAUGGAAAUAGCUGCGUAAAGAUGCAAUCUCCUCCGACUGCAACGUAUUUGUAAUAGCACUACCUAGGUAACACUUUUUAAAAAUAAGGUUAGUUUAGGCAACAACUGUUAUUAAACUUGCUUUAUUGGUCCGAAUCUCAGCUCUAAACUGUGUACUUACUCCUCUGCCUGAUUGUUGUGCACUGAGACUAGGAUAUAGUAUAGAUUAUAAUCGUGGAAAUCAACAAGAAGCACCAGAAAAUUUAAAUGAAUGUAUGUCCCGCUUCGAUCGAUGUUGUUACUUGAGCACCUUCCUCAACUUUUCUAUGCAUGAGUUCGUGCAAGGACACAACAGUAUGAGUUUUGAAUUCUUGAUCUAUCUAGGAAGCUACCAAAUAUGAUAGUGGGAAGUUACCGAUUCAAUUUAAAGCCAAGCUAUAGGUCUAAUUAAAGCUGUAAAUUUAGCAAAAGUAUGAACCUGUUAUCAAAUUUUAGCUAUUACUACAUCCCAGAUCACGUCUAUUCUAUUCUUGGCAGGAAAGAGUGUUAACAUGGAAUUCCAGCUAGAGCCCAUGAAAAUGUUUAUCACAGUUCAAAAACCUGCACUGUUACUGGAUGAGAAAAGACUAUAAAUUCGAGGUGGAAAGUGCAAAUCCCUCGGAACCUCAAAUAGCUUGAAAAAUGGUGUCUAAAAAUAAUCUAGUACUAUGUUUGACUUUGAUUAUGGCAAUAUUCUUCAUUUCCAAAUCACUGACAGCUUAUGCAGAUAAAGAUGUUUCUUCAGGAGCGGAAGAAACGACACCAGCUCAAACACCAAGUCAGCCAUAUCAAUUCAUUAAUGAGUUUCGCAACACACUUUCAAUAGACCGAGAAUUUUGCAUGAUGGUUCUGGCAUCAAAUCCCAGGAGUGCCUCGGCAAAAACUUAUGUUGAUCUCAUAUAUAUUUCCGUGGAUAUAGCAGUAAAAUAUGCAAACGAUACCGAAGAGUACAUGAUAUCUAUUCUGAACAAUACCGCGCGCAAUAAAAGAAGAAUAUCUUCCUGCUCUCAUAGAGUGCAUUUCUGACUACAAUCAAGGCCAAGAUUAUUUGCUGAAUAUAACUGGAAGUGAAGGAUGGUCCUGUAAUGGCAAGUGAUGAUGCACUUCGGGUGACAGGUUGUCAGCCUGUACAAUAAUAAAACCUGCUCAAAUUAAAAGUAAUUUCUGUAGAUAGUGGUGAGCAGUGUCGAAUCCACAGGGAUUGGGAGUAAUUGUUUCUUUUCAAAUUCACAGUGACAAGGGAGUGUUUUUAUAUCAGGGGUGACAAUUUAUGCAAUUCAACCAAAAGUAAAAUAAUAAAAAUAAAAUAGUCAACUAGAAAUUAAAUAACAAUUUACUAAAAUAAAAUGAGUGAUAAUUAAGGAUCUAGUCAAGGAAUAACUUCAGCAAUGGUUUACCUAAUUGAUCAUUGAAACAAAGGCAAUUCCAAUUAUUUACCAAUAAAUAGGUUAUAACUGUCAAACAAGCGAUGACAGUCAACCCCUCCUUACUGUGUCGGUGAUUAAGGUACGCCCGUUAAUCACUGUCCUAAUUGAGAAAUAAUCUUAGGUACGCCGAUAAGAUUUAAUUCCCCAAUUGCCUUACGUAUUAGAGGAGUCCUAUUCUAACCAAAUAACGCACUACUAGGGUUAUUUCAGAUUAGCCCGUAUAUCCCCCUGACACAAAUCUAAUCAUACUAGUUGUCACUAUUUCAAGGUAAUUAAACAAUUACGGAUUUAAUGCCCUAAUUGACAAUAGAUUACCAAAUUAACUAAUUAUCCGGAUUCAAAACAAUCAAUUAAUUAAAUAAUCAUAAGCACUGUAACCAGGGAAUAUGCGAAUACCAAUAAAUAAAAAAAAAGGUAAAAUUAAAUCGAUCUCAUAAUUUUAGGCGAGCCAAAGCAUCCGUUGCUCUUUAACUAGAAAAAGGGAUUUAACUCAUCCCUGGUUUACUCUUACCGAAAAGAAAAGAAAAGCAACUAAGAAUGAAAGGAAAAGUCAAAGGCUAAGCUUUCCUUGACAUGCGUAGGAAGUAAAAAAGAAGCCAAAAGGGAAAAGUUCCCCUUAAGCUAAAAGGAGUCCUCCCCUAUUUAAUUACUAGCUAAGCCCUCUAAGUGCGGCGGCUCCCAAUAGGAAGAAGAAGCCCUUCAGCCGUCCUUCCUUCACCGAAUUUAUCAAAAUGGGCGUAAUAUUUUCUUUUAAAAAAUGUCCUUGGGACGAGCUCUAUCAUUUAGAUUUUUUUUCUGUCAAAUUGACACCUGAUAUCAUAUUUUCGCCCUACUCCCUCAAAUAGAUGCAAAAUACUAAAAGUGAGUAGAAUUUAACAAUUAACCCGCAUCGGGUCAGGUAAUAAGGAAAAUUAAUAAUAAAAUAAAUGAUCAAAUUGCAACCUAUCAUCGGGCUUCUGAGCAGUUAGAAAAUUGUGAGCAAAUUUUGAUAUCUAGUAAUGUUGAAGAUCACUCACUUGCGGCCAAACACAAAUUUGCGAGAGCAUGUGUUCGCCUUUGUAUGGACCUUGCGUUUAAUAUUCGUUAAGUUGCACUUUGUGUGGACUAUUGCUACAAGUAUAAAUAAAUAAAAGUUAGUUUUUUUCCCUUUUUAGCAGGAAUACGUGGAAUUUAAGAGUCGGAAAAGAGAAAAAAGAAUUGAAAUUUGAGAUCUUUAGAUCUUGGAGUCUCGACCUAAUAAAUAAAAGCUUGUCGUCCCUACGUGAAAACGGGAAAAAGACUCAAUUGAUACAAACAAUUCGUUGUGUGUCUCUCUUUUGGAAGUCAAUUCGGAUGAUAAGUGCUGGCAAAAAUUCUAAGAAAAAAAAAGGUUCGGAUGGUAAGUAUUGGAGAUCUGCUUGACAUCAGGGUAUGGUUUCUCAAUGAACUCGAAGAAUCGAUGGAUAUCAUGAAUACUAAUUAGGUUUGUGUCAACGUUUUGUUUGAAUCUGAAACUCGGAAUCCAAAUAUAGAAGCAUGCAUCUUUCGACCCCGGGAGAAAAACAUUUGUUAUUGUGACGACCCCACCUCCCCCUAAGGCGUACCAAAGGGUUCGGCAGACCGCCUGCCCAGCUCUCGCCAGGACUCACUCCCUAUCUCAAACGAGUCAUGUACACACAUCCAUGAACCAUAAAUAACAUUCCCAAUUCAAGAUUAUAAUUUACAUUGAUAGAAAUCGAGGUACAAAGUCUCAAUACACCAAACUAGUUCAAAACGUAUACAAUCCAAGUACAACAUGUUCCAUUCGAGGAAUAGCGCGAGUACAAGACCAAAAAGUCAAAAGUCAAAACAAAAGGCUACGCUAGUCUUUUACAAGUCUCACGCGUCACUCGUACCCCUGAAAGGAAAACAAAUGGAGUAGAAUGAGCUAAAAGCCCAGUGAGGUUCCAAAUAGCAAAUUGACCAUUAUUUAGAAGUACAAGUUUUUGGUAUAGCAAAGUAACAAGCAUGAAGAGUUCAUAAAGGUGAGCAAUAACACGUCAAGUAGCAAUCUUAAAAUGAACGAAUGUAGAAAAUUUUUCAAAAGAAACAAUAAUCCAAUAAACAAUAAUUACUCCAAAGUAUAAGGAUACGGAUGACUCUCAGGAGCCAAAUUCCCAUUACAUUACCAGAAGCUUGAUCCCGUAGUAGUUGACACUCCGUCAACUUUCAAGUAAGUAACCAAUCCAGUAGAACACCACUUAAACGACUCUCCGUCCACCGUUCAACCCCCAGCUGGGCCCAAAAUCCUCAAGAACAUGGGUGGUAAUACUCGAGUAUACCGAUUAGUCGAGAAGAUAUCACUCCACUCGACAAUACAAGAGACCCAGGGUUUGUUACCCAAUCGACCAAGCCCUUGCCGGCUCGACUAGAGUAACUCGCCACAGGGUUUCUGGAAUUCCAGGAAGUGCGCGCAUCAUAAUCAAGUAUAUCAAGUCAAUUGCAACAAUAAACAAGUAUAUCACGUAAGGGCAAGUGCGAUAAAGUACACUCUUGCCCUAUCAAUUCACGUAUAUAACAUGUACUCAUAUUGGUCACGUAUCAAGUUCAAGUAUCUAGUGCAAUUCGGUAUUUGAAAGCACUCACCAAAAGAUAUAGUGCCUUUACUGGUCACUUUCAGGUUAUACUCCGGGUUCGGAGUCCAAAUCUGCGAUAAAACUCAGUUUGAGAACUUUGAAACAUGACUAAGAUUCGAAACUUAGACGUUUCGUUCAAUAAAAUCAAGAAAUUGAAAUUCACUCGGAUGGUAGUCGUGAAACACUUGCUCGUUUUUUAAAUGGUAAAACUUUGUAACAUUUAUACUUGAAAAUGCCAUGCAAGUCGAAAGUAUAAGGAAAACAUACUCCGAGCAAUCAUUAUUUCCUUUCUCAAGGGUACAAGUUCGGCCAAGUCCUUCCUUAUAUACCUCGGAACAAGAAUACUCAAGUACCCUAGAUGGUUCAAGCAGUAAUCACUCUUAACCCUUACUCAAGUUGCAAGUAGUUCUCUAGUUUUCGAGCGUAAAUUUGGGCAGCAUGCCCUUUGUAUUUACCUAAUUUUCCAGCCUUUUAGGCUUCAUUGUUUUUCUCAAACACAACCCAACAUCACAUAUGUCAACAAUUCAUGUCCAGAGCCGUUCCAUAGGCUCACAAUAUCAUAAUAACAAGAAUCACAACAAUGACAAGUGCAGAAAUUCAACUUAGCACAAGACAGAUUUGACGUACGAAUGCGGAAAUAACAUAUCUGAGGCUACGCUUAUCGGAUUGAGGCGUAACCUAUGCCGUUUCGAAGCUAAGACACAGAGCUACAAUGUUCAUGAAGGUCACUUAGUCCAGUUUCUAAUGUAAAUUGGUCAAAUUCUCCAAUUACCAAACCUGAAAUCAAUUCACCGGCUGUUUAAAUGCAGAACACUGUAAUGGACAUAACUCAGUGUACACAAGUCCGAAUCAGGUGUUCUUAGAGGCAUUUUAAAGCUACUUCAGAGCACUACAACUUUCAUGUUUUGGUCCAGAGCUAAAUCCGAAUGGAUCCUGGUCAAAAAUCAUGAUAAACUGGACUGAACUGAAGAAACGGACUACUGGGAAAUUCUUAAAGCAGUAGGGGUAUUUUGGACUUUUCACGUUCAGCGUUGCUCCGAUUGAGCUGAAAUUUUGUAGGCACCUAUAAAACACCAUUCUCUACAACUUUCCUUCUUUGACAAAAGGCCAAUUCGGCCUCUAACAUACAGAUACAAUUUCGGACAGAAUGCUUGGGAAAUUUUCCAGAAAUCUGGAAUUUUUAGCUCUAAGUGUAGUUUCCUCAAAUUUCUGGUUCCAAUCACCACUAAACAACCUUAUAUAACUUUAAUUGCAACAUUCAUGCAUCAUACAUCAACUUGAGCAGAAAAUCAGGAACCCUAGUUCAUCAAAUAAAUUGGGGAAAACAACUAAAACAUGCUCAUCAUCCAUAAUCUCACCAUAAAAUCAAGUUACUAGGCUUAAUAUAACAAGAUUAGAAGUAAAACUUGGAGAGAUAAACUCUCUUACCUUGAAUAAAAGUCACCAAGAGUAGCACAAGCUCUCCCCUUCAAGAAUCACACCACAACUCACUAGCUAGUCACUCAAGAACAAGUUUAAUCGGUUUAUUUUGUUUGAUUUCUCCCUAAGUUGUUGGAUUGAAGAUGAAAUGAAGGAGUUUUUUUUUUUCUUCUUGUUGUUCCUCCCCUCUCUCUCUCUCGGUUCUUAUGCAGAAAUAUGGAGGAAGAUGAGGCUUGGUUUGUCUUAUAUAGAAGUAAGAGGUUAAGGGUAAUUGUGUCCACAAUUUUUGGCCAACACUUGGCCUAUUCUUGUCCACAAAAUUUUUCUCUUUCUUUCCUUGUAUUUGAGCCACAAUUUCGGUCAAGCUAUAAUCAUGAGGGGGAAGAUAUUUUGUUCAACUUCAAUAAAUUUGUUUGGUAAGCAAAAAUGGUGGUCAAGCGGUGCGUUCAAUCGGUAAUGCGCGGGACCCGCCGGUUCGCGCCGUUUUUCUUAAAAACACCCGUACUAGAGUUUUUACUUUCCAUUCACUAACCUUAUCUCAUGGCUACUACUCACAUAUUAUUUCUCACUUAAAAGUCACUUUUAAUCAUCAAAUUGAUCCUUAGCCAGUACCGAAAUUUCAUCCGAUGGAAAAUCGAAAAACCCUAAUUUUGCUCAAAUCUUGAAACCGAAGCGGAAAACCCUAUUUUCUAGGUUCAUCUGCACUUAUAGUUAAACAAUUGGAUAGUAGAGCUUUAAUAAAUAAUAAUUUCCAAAUAAAAGAAAAUUUUUAAGAAAACGUGAGGAAUUUUCCAAUUCCAGUAAUUAAAAUUAGGGUUUCAAUUAAAAUAGGAGAGAUUUAGGAAAACCGGUUAGUCACAAGUAAACUAGGGUUUUUGGCUACAAUAUUAGGGUUUCUAGUCUUUUUAAAACAAAAAUAGGUUUUAAAUCAAAUCCAAAGAAAUACACUUUAAUAUUUUCUUCACAAACAACCUCCUAAUAUUCGGGAUGUUACAGUUAUUCCAUUUGGGUUCUUCUCAAUUAUUAAUUAGCAAUUCAAACAAACAGAAGAAUGGAGCAAUUGAUACUGGCUAGUGAUUAAAUUAUAAAAGACUCAUAAAAGAUGAUCUCUUCGCUCCAUUAUAAAAGACUCAUACUAGCUAGCACACAGUUUAAUUUGAUUCCUUAAUAAAACUGAUAAAAAGCCCGGAUCUAAAAGUGCUAAAAUAACAUACGUAAUUAGUCCAUGUCAGUGAAAUAAAUGAAGCAAUCAUAGGACUUUCAAUUAAGAAUUACUUGAUUAGUGAAUUUGUGAAGUACGAAGGAUUUUUGGCUCAACUAAGCGAAAACAUGCUCAACAGGUUUUAAUAAAUUUAGUUCUCGAAACUUUAUAAACUAAAACAACAUAGAGGUAAAUGUAUGUUAUUCCACAGGACUAUUACUAUAAGGAUUAAGUUUUUUAUACACUGAUUGUGUAGUGAUUUUUUUACAAAUCAGAUUUGGAUAUAUCCACAUGUGCAUGAUUUAAAAUUCAAAUUUGAAUUCAUACUGUGUAGCAUGAUCUAAACUUGCAAGUGUAAAAAAAAAAAUUAUACACUAACAUUGUAUAGAAAAGUUGUCCUUGAUAUAAUUCUCUAUCGAUGAAGUCCAAGUAAUUAUUCUUUAAAAUUGGAAAUUUUAAAGAAUUCUAAGAAAAUAUUCUAAAUCUAUUAUUGUUGGCAUUUAUACUUCAAAAUUCAGAUGUACAAUAUCUUUAGGUGAACCUGCAAGUUUCCUAAUAAUUAAUCAAAUUCAUGUCCAGUGCUAGUUAUACGGCAUUAUUGUACCAAAGAUUAAUCCUUUCCACUUACCAUAGGAUUAUAUUCAGCCACGCCUCGUAUUAAUUUUCUUGUGCAAUAACAACACGUGGGUGCCCAAAUACUGUUGUGGACAUGUGGUGCCUCUCAACAGUCCGACACUCCGACUAAUACAUGGAGUUUGUUUGAACACCUCAUGUGGCUGUAGCCCAAUUAAGUUGGUUUUUUUUUUUUUCCCCUUUGAAAACAAAUUAAGUUGGUUAAAAGCAUAAUUAGUACGGAUCAAGCAUUUGUUACUGAUUUCUGUCAAUGCCAAGAAUGCUAAAGCAUCGACACUCUUAUCAAUGCCAAUUAAUGCUUUAAUUAAAGACUAUCUUUUAGGUGAAUUUUGUUUGUCAGCAUGUUUUUCCUCGCCAAACUAUACAAUAAUGUAUAUAAUUAGGGGUUUGAUAUGACUUACAACUCAUGGCUAUACUGUGGGGACGACAUUACCCUGCUGGGAUCCUUGUCCAAAAAUUGCUUCAUGCCUCCCUUUGAGUAAACUUGCUUCUUCUGUCCGAAUCCCAGCGCUAUUCGUCCCAAUUGUUCAAUUUUCAAACUGAAGAUGUAAUAUAAUUGUGGCAGUCACCGAGAAGCAACAGAAUAAAGGAAUUGAGAAAAAUAACGUCCAUGUCCUUUUAGGUGUUGUUAUUUUUGGUGGAACGCCUUUCAAUUCCAAUUCCUACCUACUUUUGAAGCACCUCAGUCAAAAUAACUAAAUCAGCACCUCCUUCAACUGUUGUAUCCAUUCAUUUGAGAUAGGACAGUGGUGUAUGAGUUUUAGCCUCUUGAGUCUUGACCAUCUAGGAAGGAAUUAAAAUAUGGAAGUGAGAAGAUACCAAUUCUAUAAUCAAACUGCAAAACUUACAAGUACACGCCUAAUGGAAGCCGUAAAUUUUAGCUAAGUAUACACCUGUUAUUAAAUGUCAACUACUACGUCUAAUCCAUGCCUUUAAGGUCACCAAAUGGGAAAAUCCAGAAGUUGUUGAGCAAAGUAUGAUAGAUUUGAACUCAGGAGUUCUUCUCCCUGAUCAUGGCUAUACUAUUCUUGGGAGGAAACAGUUAAAAUGAAUUCCAGCUAGAACCCGUGAUAAUGGUUAUCACAGUUGAAACACAUGCAAUGCUACAGCAUGAAUAAGACUAUAAAUUUGUGGUGGAACGUGCAAAUCCCUUCUAACGUCAUAUAACUCGAAAACAUGGUGUCUCAAAAAAGUCUAGUGUCAUUGGUUGCUCUGUUUGUGACAUUCCUCAUUUCCAAGUCACCAACAGCCUAUGCAGAACAAGAUCAUUCUGAAGCAACGACACCGGCUCCAGCACCAAGUGAACCAAACCAAUUUGCUAAGGAAUUUUGCAGCAAAAGAAGUUAUAAAGAAGGACGAGAAUUUUGCACGAGAGUUCUGGCGUCAAAUCCCAGGAGUGCCUCGGCAAAAACUUAUGUUGAUCUCAUACGUAUUUCGAUAGAUAUAGCAGUGACAAAUGCAAACAUUACCAAAGAAUACAUGACAUCUUUGUUGAAUAGUCAUGCAACAGGGGGAGAAUUUCUGGAGGCUCUCAAACAGUGCAUUUCUGACUAUGAUACGGGCAUAGGUGACUUGCUCAAGAUAACUACAGAUAUGAGUUUUUACCCUCCACUGGCAAGUUAUGAGGCUUUUCUGGCUCUGGCUUCUGACCAGUUGGGCUAUUGUGAGGAAGCUUUGAAAUCUGAUAAUGUUGCCGAUGGCUCAAUUUUAUCCAAACAUGAAGUUGCCAAAGCAAGUGUUUCGCUUUGUGUGGACAUUGCGAAAUGUAUUAAUUAAGUUGCUUUUUUGCCCUUUUGUUGACUAUGCGAUGAGUAUAAAUUAAAUAAAAGAUUUGUUGCAAGUCUAUGCGAAAAAGGAAAAAGAAUUACUGUGUUAAAUGUUUUUUUUUUUUGUUUCUACCAUCUUUUGUGUCAAUUGAGUGCUUAAGAGUUCCUUUUUCUUGUACCAAAAAUGCCUUGGCCUAGUUCUCCGCAAGUUAAUACAGAUGAUUAAGUGUUCAAAAUCUGCUUUUUGUUGGGGCUUACUAAUAUUUCAUCUUGCGUCCCUCGGAGAAAGCCAAAACGAGUCGAGAACAAAUAUUGUCCUGCUCGUUCUGAAGCAGAUGUUCGACUGAGUACUAAAUUUGAUGCUUGAGAUUGACUUGAUAAUAUUCAGGGAAUUCAAGAAAGAAAAGGGUGCUCAAGCUUGAACUCAAUUAAAUGAUUAAUCAUAGGCAAAAUAUGUAAAUUAUCCAAAAGGUCUUUAAAGGAGUUUUGGUAAUUUUGCAUUAGGAGCUCUUCUCCCUGAUCACGGCAAUACUAUUCUUGGCAGCAAACAGUUAACAUGGAGUUCGAGCUAGAACCCAUGAUAAUGGUUAUCACAGUUUAAACACAUGCAAUGCUACUGGUUGAAUAAGACUAUAAAUUUGUGGUGGUUCGUGCAAAUCCCUUCUAACCUCACAUAACUCGAAAACAUGGUGUCUCAAAAAAAUCUAGUAUCAUGGGUUGCUUCGUUUAUGACAUUCCUCAUUACCAAGUCACCAACAGCCUAUGCAGAAAAAGAUCAUUCUUUAGCAACAACACGGGCUCCAGCACCAAGUGAAUCAUCCAAAUUUGCUAUGGAGUUCUGCAACAAAAUAAGUUCUAAAGAAGGCCGGGAAUUUUGCAUGAGAGUUCUGGCGUCAAAUCCCAGGAGUGCCUCGGCAAAAGGUUUUGUUGAUCUCCUACAUAUUUCGAUAGAUAUAACAGUGAGAUAUGCAAACAUUACCAAAGAGUACAUGGCAUCUUUGUUGAAUAGUAAUACAGCAAAAGGAGAAUUUCUUCCGGCUCUCAAACAAUGCAUUUCUGACUAUGAUGCGGGCAUACGUGAGUUGCUGCUUAUAACUAAGGAUAUGGUGGAUGAUCCUGCACUGGCAAGUUAUGAUGCUGUUGUGGCUUCUGACCAGUUAGGCUAUUGUGAGGAAGCUUUGAAAUCUGAUAAUGUUGUCGAUCGCUCAAUUUUAUCCAAACAUAAAAUUGCCAAAGCAAGUGUUUUGCUUUGUGUGGACGUUGCGAAUCAUAUUAAUUAAGUUGCUUUUUGGCCUGUGUGUGGACUAUUGCGAUGAGCAUGAACUAAAUAAAAGUUUUGUCGCAAAUCUUUGUGAAAAAGGAAAAAGAAUUGCUGUGUUAAAUGCUAUUUUUUGUGUUUCUACUAUCUUUUGAGUCAAUUGAUGCUUAAAGGUACCUUUUUUCUUGUACCAAAAAUACCUUAGCCUACUUCUCUGCGAGUUAAUUCCGAUGGUAAGUGUUCAAAAUCUGCUUGGCCUUCGGGCAUGGUUUUUCUGCAGUUGUAGGAUCCUUUUAUGAACAUUCUUGGGUUUAAAUAUUUCAUCUUGCGAUCCUAGGAGAAAGCCAAAAUUUUAGGGAAGCUCAAGUUUGAUCGAGUACUAAAUUUGAUGCUCAAGAUCGACUUAAUAAUAUUUAGAGAAGUUCGAAAAAGGAAUGCACAAUAUCUUUAUUGAACUUCCGAGACUCUUAAGAGGUCAAAUGCAUGUCCUGUGGUGAUCUGAUCAUACCUUUUUUGACACAAGACACAACCAACAUGGUUAAACUACUUCAAAUAGAUUGAUCUAGCACUAAUCCCACCAUCAACAGCUAAAUCAUGUGCACUUAUGUAGGCAGAUUCAUCUGAGGCAAGAAAUAGAGCAGCCUCAGCAACAUGUCUGCCGUUCAGGGAUUCUCCGUUGAGGUUAACUCGGUAACUUAGAAAUCUAUGAAUCUGUUCUGGAGCCAAUCUCGAAGAACUAGACACCAUUGGCAUGGCAAUACGCGCAGGAGAGAUGCAAUUAACUGUUAUUCCAAACUCUCCUAGCUGGCUCAACUGCAGCAGCUUUAACAAGACCUAUUACAGAUGCUUAGAAGCCUUAUAUGCAGCUGGACCUCCUGUAGACAGUGUAGCUUCAGUACUCGCAGUUCACAUAAUCGAGCCGCGAAUUUUUCCAGCCACCAUGGCCUUAGCCGCAUGCUUAAUAGCAAAGGCAGAACAACGAACAAUUACAGCCAUGGUCUCGUCGAAAUCUUUAGCAUCUAUGGCUAGAAUACUGUUUUUAAGACCAGGGACCCCGGCAUUGCCAAACAUGAUGUCAAGACUGCCAUAUUUCUGGAUAGCAUAUGCUACGGUUUCCUCUACUUCUUUUUCGUUCUUCACAUUGCAUUGCUUGUACGUGGCUUUGUCAUGAACCGAUGGAUUCCGCGACCUGGUGGCCGGGAUCAUCUUGAAUGUCGGCAACCACCACAGAGUCUCCAUGCUCCACGAAUAUUCUUGCUGUUGCUUCACCUAUGCCACUGGCUGCCCCGGUGAUUAUUGCCAUCUUUCUCUCUAACCUGGAAAUAUUUUCAACAAAAACUUCAUAACGAGAAAUAAUUAAGGAUUCCAGUGGCGUGAAAUUAAUUGCUUACUUCAGUUGAGUAAAGAGGUUAAGAUAGAAAGUAACCUUCGGUUAGCCAUCGAUCAAGAUUCGACAAAGCUGUGCAAGAAGGAGAUAGCAACUUGGUUUGCUCAAUUUUUCCACGUAUCACUGCUAAUUUUAUAGGAAAAAAGUGUUUGUCGGGUAAGGACCAAAUUGACAUCCAAAGUUUCAACGGAAAUGCAUCUGAUCCUUUAAGUGGGCAAUCUUGAUAAAUUUUGGACAUUUUAUGUUAAAAUGUCAAAAAUUUAUCAAACAAAUGCUUGCAAAGUUUGUUUGCAAAAGAAUCUCGUAUUUGAGGAGGUUAAUCCAGCUUGGUAGUUUUUUAAUUUUUUAUAUUGAUUGAUGGAAAUACGCUUUUUACAAGAUUACAACAAGCCCUAAUUGGUGGAAGUAAUAUAAACAGAUUAAAGCUUAAUUAACAACAAAUCAAGACGCAAACAAAGAGAGGAUGUUAUUAUGGCUAAAGCUAAAAGUUUUUUAACACUACAAAGAUUCCAAUCCACAUGUUGUAAUUUAGAUUAUGUGACAUCCGAAAAGAAAAAGAGAGGAUUUAACUAAAAACCGUAUAAUGAAGAGGUGACUUCACCAUGGAGAAUGAAAUUUAAUUAUGCUUGAAUUUCUUUUCUCUCCUACCAUAAGACAUUGAAUUCUGAAAGGAGGAAUAUUCAUAGCCAUGCAAAACCUGAACUAAAUUCUAAAAGAAAACCCCAUUCAGAAUCUAAACUCAAAUCUAUAAUAAGAAUGCAUCAUAGUUUGGGGAGGAGGAAGGGAUAAAUGGCUUGAAAUGGUACCCGUUGAUGAGCCGACUUACCUCAUUAAUUCAGUUCAAUCUAAUCUAAUUUUUAAUACUUUUGACAUUAAGGUAGUUUUAGUAUUCUCCAACUUAAGCUUGAAAAAUCCCUUUCUACAUAGGUGCUCGAUAUUGUGCUUGCCGUCAAGCUAAACAUGGUUGAUUAUAAAACAUUACGGCUUAUGUAUACGUUUUACAAUUAUAGUGUCUAGUCAUGGGUUUAAUAUUAAAAAAUAGUAAAUCUUUUAUACACUGACAGUAUAUACACUAGCGAGUCUAGAUGCAUAUCACGUGCACAAAAUUUAAUGUUCAAGUUCAAAUUCAGAUAAUGUGAUAUUCAUCAAACCCUAUCAGUGUAUACACUGAUAGUGUAGAAAAUAUUAAUCCUUAAAAAAAUGAUAAAUCUUUUAUGUACUGACAAUGUAUAUAUUAGCGAGUCUAGAUACAUACUACAUAUACAAAAUUUAACACUUUCUUCCACUUUUACAACUACAAAUAAAACUUCCAAAAACAAUGAAUAACUUUCUCUCUUUUCGAAAGAAUAAAAGAUACACUCCUAUUAUUUUUAAUGCGUAUAUAUACGCACAGUCUGUGCCUUUCUCACUGUAUACAUAAAAUGUGAGCAAGGUUUGGUGUUCAAAAAAUAUAUCAUCCUUUUGAAUUAUCAACUUAGCCUUAUUGUUAAGGGCAAAAUGAUGACAAUAUAAUUAUACAAUUUUCUCUUCCUAUAUCAAUACAGAUAUUUUGAUUCGAUUUGUCCAUGUUCAUCUCAUGGCAUUUGAAAGACAUGAAGACUACAGUAUAUCUGCUGCUGCACUUCUUUCUUCACCAUCGAUAAAAAAAUCACGAUUUUUGUAUCCAAAAGAUACAUGCAAGGAAAGUUGGAAGGAAAAAGGAGUGAUCGUAGCCAUUUAAACAUUUGAAGAUUAGUUGGAUUUUCCUAAGGAUUCUUCUAAUUUCUUUUAGAUUCGUUGUAUUCUUCUCAUUUUUUUUAUUGUGAUCUCGAUUAGUAUUGAAUACAAUUUACUUGAAUAAUCUGUUUAUUUUUUUACUCUCUUUUAUAAUUUUUUUCCACCCAGCUAUAAAUUAGUAAGAUAUUUAGUUAUCUUUUUCCUCCUACCAAAGAAUUUAUUUAUAACUCAUUCACAUUUCAUCUUUUUGUGCAUUUUGCCCUUUUUAUGUUUACAUAUUGUACAUGUGUUUAUGUGUCUUACUGUAUCAUAUGUUUCACAAAUUGCACACACAUUGAGUGUGUCCCAAUCACUAGUAUAUACAGAGGAUUAAUUGUGAUCUCCAUUUGCCCUCUUGAUUACUUGAAUUCGUUACUUUUUAAUUACAUAUGAAAUGUCUUAUCAAUUAGGCCACGCAUACAAUUUAUUGAAACCUCAUUUUGUUUAUUAUAAAGUCUUCAACAAGGUCAUUAGAAUUUAAGAAACAAAAUCAAAAAACUUGUCAAGCUGAUAAAUCUAUUACUAAUCAUUUUAAGUUAAUUUUUAUAUGCUUUUGGAAUUGAUUACCUGAAAAUGAAAAAGCGGCUUGUAAUUUUUUUUUUUUCAUUUGAGCUAAUAUAUUGUGUCUUUUAUCAGCAUCUCGUGCCAUUCUCGUCACCCUUUUUCCUAUCAUCUCAAUCACUCUUUUUCCUAUUAUCUCAAUCAUUUAUUAUGAUCAGAGCAUAUGAAUGAAAAAAAAUUAAGAAGAAACAUCUUCUUCUCCCUCCAUAUUAAGCCUAGUAAAACAUUUUUGUUGAAGGGGAUUUUCAGCAGCAUUAAUAUAUACAUACAUAUGAAUUUUUAAGAUCACUAUUUGUCCAUACCUCCCUGUUGAUUAUUUUUUUUAAGCAAGUUAUUUAAAAAAAAAAAACUUUACAUGAUGUUAAGUACCAAAUACCAAUAACGAUUUGGUUAACAACUGAACAAUUUUCCAUUCUCACACCGAAAAUUUGUUGUUGUCAAAAUUGUAGUUUUUGAUGCCUAUUAUCAAAUUUUCAAUUGAAUAUUCGUUAAAAAUGUUUAUGUAAAUGAUUUUUAUUUUUUUAUUAGCUGCACUAGCUUAUCACUACCGCUAAGAAUAUUUAAGAGUCGAAGGUCGAGGCUCGAAUCUAACGACCGUCUUUGUCUUCCAAUAUUUGGUGUCAGGCGAAAUCCGCAUUCCUAAGGCUAUGUCGGCUCCACCGGCAGCUCUCCUCCACAGUGUCCAUCUCCGCCAUGAACACUGAAAGCCAACCAUGUGAGAUCAUGCUUAAGAUUCGAACCUUUCAUUUUGUACUAAAGAUUCACUUCUGGAGUCUUUCAUAAAACAUUUCUUCAAGAAGGUACAAAACAAUAAAUAAAUAAAGAUGAUCAAAACAACUCAAAUUGUUGAGGUUGAAAAAAAGUGUUCUGCUGAAUACAGUAACAGAUUUCUUAGUUUACUUUGGUUUCACCCCUGAAAAUCAUUAUCAUGCAUUGAUGUUUUUACUUAGGCUUCUUGAAAUUAAAGAUGAUCAAAACAAUUCAAAGAGUUGAGGUUGAAAACAAGUGUUCUGCUGAAUACAGUAAAAGAUUUCUUAGUUUACUUUGGUUUCACCCCUAAAUAUCAUUACCAUGCAUUGAUGUUUUUACUUAGGUGUCUUCAAAUUGGUUGUUUUCCCAUCAAUUUUUAAGUUCAAGAACUGGGAAUUUCAAAUGGGUUCAGACAGAUUAGUUCUUUAAACAGUGCCUUUGAAUUAUGUAGUUGGAUUAGGACUUAAAGCGUUCCUUUAUUGGUUGUUAUUUUUCUUCUCCAGCCGUCUUUUGGGCCGAGGCUUUUGUGUUUAGGGACGGUUAUUUCGGGAGUUGGGAAGCAUAAAGUGGAGGGAGCAUAAUUCAAAUUCAGAAUUCGCAUGAUACAUUUCCUGAGGAAUUUUGGUUCAUUUUGAUUGAUACUUGUUUGGUUUCUAAAGCUCUUGAAUUUUAUUGUACUUGAAACUUAAUUGCUCUGAUGCGCUUUUGAUCUAUGAAUAUUCAGGUGCCUCAGUUGAUUAGUGACAGUUUCAUCUCCUCAAGAAAAUGGUAUGGUGCCCGAACUGCGUCAGGGACUGUCGUGUAGACCGUGAUCAUGCUAGUGGAUACAUGUAAGUAUAUCUACUGCUUCCGUCAGUUAUUUAGGCCAAUUUGGCUUCUGAAAUUGUAAUUCCAGUUAUCUCAAGCUUUGCAAUUCGUGAAUGUUAUCAUUUGGUGCAUUUCUUGCAGAUGUUGUUCUGAAUGCGGAAGAAUACACUAUCAAGAUGUCUUCACAGAUGAGCCCACAUUCGUCAAGGGACCAGGAGGAGUGGUCUGCUUCUGUUCCAUGUCACACUUGUGUGUGACCAUUAAACUGAGAGAACAUUGUAUUUUCUAAAGGUUGCCUAAAUAAUCAAAUUGAAAGGCAAAUCCUGAAGAAAAGGACUUAACAAUUUUUAUUUCAUCGCAACUUCUUGUGAUGUUUUUGUGAGACAUUGUGGUUGUUAAUUGCAUUUUAUGUCAAUGCUGCUGAUAUAGUUUCUUUGGGCUUGGUGCAGAGCCGUUUGGCUGGCAGUUUUGUGAGGAGCGUUCAAAGCGAUUGUUCAGAAUCAUUUAAAAGAACAUUAGAGAAUGGUCUGUGCCUCUGUUUCCUAACUGCUGUUGCUUAAAUAUUAUGGAACAUAUCUUGAGUUUGUCUUUGCCAUCAUAUCUUGAUGGUUUUUGCGUUUUUGUUUUCUUCAGUCUGGGUUGUAUGUAUUAUGUCAUCAAAUUUCUUUUUGUUGGACAAAGCUAUGUAUUCUCUUUGGCUGUAUGAAUGAUCUGCAUGCUCUUUUAAUGCAGUAAAGGAUUAUUUUGUGUUAUUUCAGCAGUCUUCACUUAUCUGGUAUCAUUACUCUUUGCAGGAAGUAGGCAAAUUAAUGAUUUGAUGAUAAAACUGGAUAUCCCUGACGAGUCUUUAGGUGCACAAGCAGCUUCAUUUUAUCGGGUUGGUUUUCGUAUUCUUCCUUUUUCUUUUUGGUGAUAUUUCAAUUUCCAUCAGUUAUUGGUACGCCUGAGAUCUUGCAGAUUGCAGUUGAGCGUAGUUUCACCAAAGGACGUAGAACUGCUCAUGUUGCAGCAGCUUGCCUCUACAUUGCUUGCAGGUCAGCUGCUCUCUUUUUCUUUCAGCAACAAUUAGUCGGAUAUUUCUUAAAAAUACCUUUGGAAAGUUAGUUUGAGUGAUAUUAUGGCAUUGACCUGAUGAAGAUAAUUGGCAUAUAUGCUGUGGUAUUAAAGCAUCAACUUGCUAAAGCAAUUAUGUCUGGCUUGGUUUUGGUAAAUAUUGAUAUUCUUGAUACAGGUAUUAAAAGGCAAAGAUUGAGUUGUGUAUUUUUACAAGGCUUACCUUGAGAUCCACUGACUUCAUUAUAUGAUGUAGUAUCUUUUGCAGAAAUCUAAUCUGCUGUUUCCGGUUAGUUGUCUUAGCAGUAAAUAAGGUUUCAUUCUUAUUGCGGGAGUGGUUCCAACUUUAGGUUCUCCCACAUUUGCUAUUUAGGUUUUUACUCAUUCUGGAUAAGGUUUGACAGAUUAUUCGGGUUCCAAUGGAAGAAAUAAUGGAAAUUUGAUAACAAUUAAUCUGAUUUCAACUAAGAGGUUUACAAGAAGAUCGGUAGAGUAUUUCAUAAGUUAAGAUUCCCUUCAUAAAUUAGUUCCAAGUUAACACCAAGUUAAAUUUUCCCUCAUCUUUGUCGUUAACAAUAACCACUCAGCUCUUUUGUGACAACCUGCUGCCAACAUAGCCAUUCAUAAACUCAUGCUUUUUCCUCUUUGCCAUUGUUAUGUAUAUACAAGCAACUAAAUACACAAAAGCUUUCUAAGUCUGAGACUGGAGGGUGGACAUAUGGUUUCCUACAACCUUUGAUAGCUAUCUAUGAAAACUACUGGCCAUACUAACAUAAAUCAGGACAAGCAAAAGCAACUUUAAGCUAUGUUGCAGUCACUUUACAGUGGUGUGAUACUUGUUUAGAUGUCAUAGUAACGAUGAUCACCAGUCAUCACGUCAACCAAACGUGUGUACAACUAAUAAAAUUGGAAGAUAAAUAGAUUUGGUUUGAAACUACUUCAAGAAAAUUUAUUAAUUACAGGAAAAAAUGAAUCCUCCAAUGUCUGUCUUUAAGUACAUGGUUAGUUAUUCUUAGUCACAAUAUUUAUGGAGUCACAGAAUCAGCCUUACAAGUAGGGCUUAUAUUUUAAAUAAAGAAAUUAAAGAGGGAGGGACACCACAAAUUAAGGGAUGCUUUUACUUGAUAUACAGUAUGAAUAUUCAAAUGGCAGAAGGUUUGAUUCAAGUUGUUGCUAGGGAUAAUCCUAGUGGGCUGUGAAAGUAACAACUCGUGCAAUUUGUGUCUGGACUAUAAUUUGUUUCUCCAGUGGAAUUGGUAAUUAUGUUUUGCAGUUAAUGAAGUUAUUAUUGCUAACAUAAUAGCUAAAAUUCAUUGUCUUAAUUCCUCUAAACUGUCUCUUUUACUGGGUAUUAGAUCCACAACCAAUAUUUUCAAUUGUUUAAUGCUGUAGUAGUUAUUUGCAUCUAAGAUAUUGCCUCCAAUUAAAUUGGGGUUUUACAGGUAUAUGUCCAAGAUCUCAUUUGUAGAAGCAUUUUCACAUUCUUUUUCCUAAUCCAUUUUCAUGCUGUUCCAAUAUAUCCUCCCGUUUUAACUUGUCUUUGAAAAUUAAUUGUAAUGAUGUACAUAGUCACUAGCAGUUGAGAUAUAUAAAGUAUGGUGAACAACGUUUUCUUAUGAGGGAGUCGUGCCCUUUUUGUUGGUUGAUGCUAUUAGUCCAAUCUCUUUUGCCUCUGGACAAUUUGGCAAACAAAUUGCUAAAGCAUGUUAACACACUUGUCACCUGCUCUGCUAUUGAAAUUGGUUUGAAUGAUCUUCUAUAUGUCAACAGACAAGAUUUAAUGCUAAGAAGUGAUAGAUCAAUUUAUAACAUGUUAGCUCAAAUGGGUAUUUUGCUAGAACCAUAAAGUAGCUCAACUUUUAGAAGAAUUGUCAAUGAAUUGUCUUUUAAGGAUAGGAUAAACUGUUCGUAGUUGUCAUGGGAUUGGUCUUUAAAAUGCAAUCUAACUUUUCCCCGAAAAUUUGAAAUUCUUCUUUCCUUGAGUUAUUACUCAGUUUUAGUAUUAUAUAAGUGAAGAAUUUGUCAACAUUACGUACAUUCUUCUUUUUCUGUAUCAUUUUGAUGAUGAAAUAAAAAUGCAUGAGGGAGGCUAUUGAAGUACUUCAAUACCCCUAGAUCAUUGCUUGAAAAUAUAAUAGAUUCAGUUUUGGGUUCAUAGUCUAAAGACAAAUAUUAACUUCAUGUAUUUUGAUGCCCUUGUACAUGACCAAGUGUAUGCUGCUGUGUAUUUCCAGUAUUUCUUUGUCUGACAGCUAAUACCUUGUUAUCUUUUUGUUUAUUGUAGGGCCAAUGACAAGCCAUACUUACUUAUUGAUUUUUCCAUUUGGUUGAGUGUAAAUGUGUAAGAGAAUUCCCAUUAUGACGUCAUAUUUACUUGUUUUCUUGGUUUAGAUUCCCCUUCCAAUGUUUUUUGAUGAAAUUUACUGCUUCAUACAUACAUCUUUAGUGUCUUUAGUUGCCUGAAGACUUUUACGUUUGUGACUAACAACGGUAAUUUAUGUUAUAGUUAUGUGUUGGGAGCUGUCUAUCUACAGCUUUGCAAAGUUUUGAACUUUGAAGAGCAUCCAUUUGUUCAGAAACCUAUUGAUCCUAGCCUUUUUAUGCAUCGAUUUACAAGUGGUAAGGUUCCAGUGUCUUUCUGAAGUUUUAACCAUAUUAUGCGUUCGUGUUAUGUUGGACAAAUUUCAAUGCUGUUCUCUAAUUGUAAUUUUGGUGGAAGUUGAGUUAUUUAGCAAUUAUUCAUCUACAAAAAAUGGAUUGUACAUAGACAGGCAAAAAGUAGAUCGUACAUAGACUAGAUUAGUUAUAAGGUAAUGUUGGUUGCAACGUACUUAUUGUGGGCCUUGUUUCUGGUGUCUUUAUUCAUUAAUUUCUCUCCAACUUCAAUGCUUUCGAAAAACAAGAUCCUGCAUUUUUUCCUCUUUCUGAUUCAUCAUUCUUUUCCUUCCAUACAAGAAUUUACUCUAUCUUUAAAUCACGUGGCAUUCUUGACAGAACUCAAUGGCUUAUCCAUUUAUAGGACCUGAAUAUGUUAAACUAGCUGAAUUGAACCUUUCUUCUAUCAGAAUCAAAUAUAGUUAAUAUAAAGAGAGAGGAGAUGUUUGUUGGAUCUACAAGGGAUUUUAUCAAGGUUCUUAUAUGGUUUCACCUCAUUGCUCAUGGUCUGACCAACUUUAAGUACAAUCAUCAAGGAUGCUAGUUACUCUUAUUAUUGUCAUUUUUCUUUGUAUGAAUAUAUUUUUGAGGUCAUUGGUGGGAAGACUCUCUUCAAACAUGAGUUAUUAAUACACUAGAAGUUCCAAUCCACUUUUAAUUUUUGGUUAAAUUGGAGAAAUAUUUGUUUCUUUGCAAGUUCAGUGGUUGGUGCAGGUGCUUUGUUGCUCCCAUUACAAACAUUGCGUGAUCCCUCCUCAUAGUCACGUCUUAUAUUCUCGAUCAUUCAAGUCCUACAACAUACAUUGUUGAGAUGGUUUAAAAUAGAUAGUAUCACCUUCCUUUUAUCAUUGCACGCUAUUAAUAUUUAUAUCUGCAUUAGCUUUAAUGAAAGGCGACUAUAAAAAUAAGGUUUGGAAGACAGCACUGCAAAUAGUUGCCAGCAUGAAGCGAGACUGGAUGCAGGUUUGCUAUCAUUCUUUCAUGUAGUUAACAUAUACUUCUUUGUUGUGCGUUGGCUAUUGUAUGAGGUGUUGAUGAAUUAUCAAUUUGGUUUACAUCCUUUACAGACAGGCAGAAAACCAAGUGGGAUAUGCGGUGCUGCAUUGUACAUCUCUGCACUUUCACAUGGGUGUAGUUACUCAAAGUCAGAAAUUGUAAGUGACAUUGUGUUGCCAUUUCUAAAUAUUUCUUUACCAGAUAUAACCAAACACUCUUAUAUUCUUACUGGAGCUCACUUGAGUGACAAUAUCACAAAUGAUAAUUGAAGAGAUUGUUGUGAAGUAAUAUGCUAUUCCUCCAUCCCUAUUGUUUUAAAUUUUUUCAUUUGAUAAGAUUUCUGGUAAUGGAUGUCCUGCAAACUACAAACUGAAGAAGUUAAUUUGUCAGUGUGUUAGCAUUGUUGCACAAUUGUUUCAAGUUUAUUGCUGUUCAUGUGUUAAAUAGUGAUGUUUCUGGAACAUGGUAAUAAGUUGUAAAGAAGCUUAUACAGUUCCUUGGUGUAGACUCUGUCAGUAGGUUCGCUCUUAUUUCACCCCCCACCCCCGGCAAACACCGGCAACCCUCUCAUUUUUGCCUGCUAUAGUUGGAUUUUGUCUAUCAUGCCUCAUAGAUGCAUUCUGUACUCUAUCCUCAUAACUUUCUUUUAUAUCUAAAAUGAUGCAAUUUGAAGGAAAGUUAUUUAGUGCUAAAAAUAGAGAUUCUUGCUCCAGAUUCUUCUAUUAAUGUUCAAAUCUAACUGAUUUUUAAGGUAAAGCUGACUGAAUUCUUGCUUAAAAAAGUAACUAUAAAAGUGAUUGAGAUUCACAUGUAUUUGCAUGAAUUUCUAACUUAUUCACCCUUCCACUGUUUUUAGGUGAAAAUUGUUCAUAUAUGUGAAGCAACACUGACCAAAAGGUUGGUUGAGUUUGAGAAUACAAAAUCUGGAAGCUUAACAGUAAGUUCCUGCUCUUCCAAGCAUGAUCUGCUAGCAUCGAACCGUGUAGCUUAUGUAACAACAGUAGGUUUCUUGUGACAUAGCAGUUCAUUUACAUAGUUGCAUUGAGAUGGAUCAUUCUGUACUACUGCCACAUCCAGAAAGUGUCUUAAGCAAAGGCAUCAGGGAUAAUAUAUUUACUGAUCUUCUGUGACAGGCUCUUUUUGUUUCUUUGUUUUUUUUCAUUCCUUUUUCCCUUCUCAUGUCAACAGUUAGCCCUUUACUUAUUCAGGUGGAAAUUAGAAGUUGCUAUUAUCCAAGAAUACAUUAUUGCCUUGUUAAAGUUGUACUGGUAUAAUUUGGAAAUACUACAUGAGCAAGCAUGAAGUUCCAGGAUCUCACUUUGGUCUAAACCUCUUAUGCUAUUAGAUUAGCACUUAAAAGUGGUUUCAUUAAAGAAAUGUAAGCAUUGCCUAUUGUCUUUCUGAAGGUUUACAGUCACAGGCUACAAUGGUUUAGUGUCGUCAUUUGAGUAUAUGAGAUAAUAUAUGUGGUUAAUCAUUUGGGAUCUCUUCUAGGUUUGUUCUGAUUAGGACGUAUGGUUUUAUGGUCUUUGAUUUUAAUUUAGCAAUGAGUUUUAGUUAAGCAUGUGCAAAAUGGUAUCGGCCCUUGAAAUGAUGGUUCUUUUUGUUGCAAAACUUGGUGCAAGGGAGCUAUAAAAGAGAUGCAAGGGAGCUAUAAUAGCAUAAUUUCUAUUUUUGGUCAACUUGCUAACCCCUGCAGUCAUGGGAAUCGUGUGUAUAAACUGAGAUAUGUGUUUUUAAAUGGUUCUUGCUUUAUCCCAAUCAUGAUUUAUAAUUACAGUUUUAAGACCAAUCAAGACUAUCUUAUUCUUCACUUGCUUCCCUGUGCAACUUAUUUGGAGUGUUUCUUUAUCAAUCGAUCUUUUUUAAUGACCUUGAUGUUGGAAACUGUACUUCUAUUUGGAUGAUGACAAAGAUAUGAAUAAAAUAUGGGCUGUUAAGGAUGUUUUGGAAAAAAUCAAGUCAAAAGGACAUAUUUGUUAUGUGCUACGAGAAUAGUAAUGGUCGGAACAGUUGUUAUUUCAAAAGGGCGAAAGGAAUAAUAAAAGGGUUAAGGUGCUUUUCUCAUUGACAGGGAAGUGGCAGCAACUGCAAGAGUAAGAUUCUAGGGCAUGUCUUAUUUUUUCUUCCCUUUUCUUUUUUCCUACUUCUUCAACUGCCUUGCUUAUCAUCUCUUAUCAACAUAAAAGGAUAGACACUGUCAAUAAAAGGCAUUAGCCAUAAGGCAGUUGCAUGCUGUUGCUUGUGGUUACGAAGGUCUGAAGCAAAAAUAAUGGAUUUUGUCCUCAAUCCUUGUUUCUAUAACCUUUGUGCAAUUAAAAGCCACUUUUAAAAUCUUGGUACCAUGAGACUCCUGGAGUCGUAGAGAUUGUUCACUAUAUAAAGCAGAGUGACUUGUUUCUCUUGAGGCUAAUAUAGAGGACUGUCUAAGAUAGGCUAACUAUGGAAAUUUGUGGAGUGAUGUUUUGGUCGUCUUUCCCUUUUAGUUUUGGAAUAGUGGAUGUUGUUUGUCAUUUAUAUUGGAGGUUUCUGAAAGAGAUAUUUGUGAGGUCUGAAAUAUGCAUGGGAGAUGGUGGAGAGCUGGUGGCAUUAAAAGGACCUAAAACGGAGUUAGUCAUAGCCCAUGUUGAGCAUAGGUUUAAUCUUUUUUGGGUUUAUUACUUUUGGAUUUUGUCAUGUUUGGCUGUUGCUUGAAGUUAGUUAAGAUUGAUGUUAAGAAAUUAUUGGAUUGACUUGCAAAAAUUCUCAUGAUAUAAAAAUGGAAUUUGUCUUUACUGAUGGAGGAUUAUGUAAAAGAGGAAAAAUUUUUUCACUCUCCUUUUCUUUGCCUCUUGUCUCUAGAAUUUCCAUUUGUGAUCAGUUUUCUUAAUAUGUCUUGAGGCUCAUACUUCCUCAACACAAUCUCUUUUCAGAUUGAGGAAUUCAAUCAGAAUGCGGAAGAGUUUGAAAAGGAGAAUCAUUCAUCCACAUCACCAGAUAUAUACCUGCAGGAGUCUGGCAAAAAGGAAGUGCUUUGCCAACACAAAGGAAAAGAACCUCAUUUUGCUCAUGGGCUUUGCAGAAGCUGCUAUAAAGAUGUGAGUUCUAUGCCUUUUUCCUUCCCUUCCCGUAACUUUUAUUUUGGAUGUGAUUUAUGCUCCUCUCAUAUGUUCCAGUUCAUUGAACUCUCUGGUGGACUUGAUGAAGGAUGUGAACCUCCAGCGUUCCAGGUUGCUGAAAGGGAUAGAUUAGCCCGAGCAUCUGCUGAGAAGGUUGGGAAUCAAAAAUUCUUGUGACCAUUGGUGGUGAUAUGAUAAGUGCUAUAAUAAAAUGUGACUAUGUAGUAAACGAUUAGAGACACCAUCUGAAUGAUGUGCAGUGUCUGAAAUGAAUCUAUUUAUACAUGAAACAUGCACUCAAAACUAUAUGAUAAAUUUAAUAGCUUAAGUAACAACUUUGAGCUAUCUUGUUAAGUGUGUCCCUGAUAAUGAAUAAAUUUUCUCCCUUGGCACGUUAAAGGCCAUGAAAUCACUUAAAGAGUAAAUAUCAACUGUGGAAGUUUUUUGGAACUUCUCAUUUCUUGACUAAUUUUUCAGUUGAGGUUGUCAUCAAUUAAUAAAUGCAUAAGUAAACAAUGACUUGCCUCUGUAUAAUCUUAGAGCUUUUAGAUAAGGUUGUCAUUUGUAUUGUACAAGCUCAAAUUUUAGUAUGAGAUUGUAAUUUAACAUUGUAGAAAACAAGCAAAGGCCUCUGACAGGGCAAUUUAACCUGCACAUGAGAAGAUAAGAUUUCAAAUUAUACUGUUGAUUUAUUUUUUAAGGAUUAUUUAGCUAAUUGGAGGGUUUGCAGCUUCAGUUAAUGCCAAAAUUGAGCUGAUGAAACUUUGUUGUUGACAUAACCAAGCACUCGAGAAUAUUUCUAUGGAAGAAAAAGUUUAAUAUGCAUAUAUCCUUUCCAUAUGCAUGAGUACUUAAUUUGAAUUUUUUUUUUUUUUUUAAUUUUGGUACUCUGACCUUAUAGAAGUUAUUUUUGUAGGAAGGAAGCACUGAUCAGGCAAAUCAAGAUAGUUGUAACCAUGAGAAAGAAGCGGUGCCAGUGUCAGCAAGUGCUUGUAAGUGUCUGAUGGUAUUGGUUUGAAAUUCUCUCCCACCUGGCAGGCCUAUGUUGUUCUUACCUCUGACUUUUGUCCUUAUUCCGGCAGCUGCCCCUCAGAAUCUGGACAAAAGUUGUGAUGACACAUUUCGCAAAGAUGACGAUAUUCCAUCUGUCACAGUUGAGACAGAUAACCUUUCUGAUAUUGAUGAUGUAGAGGUGAGUAAAUCAGUCAGAAAGGUGUGCGCAUAACCCAUUGUCUAUGCCUAUGGUUUUCCUUAAGGGAAUAGUUUGUUCUAGUUCAAGCAUGAUACAGUAUUGGCCUGACCUUGGCACCAUUGCAUAGUUCAAAUAUACCUCAUUCAUUUCGUGUGCACUCCUUUUGUUUCAUUAUUAUUUCUUUAAUGAUGCUCUCUGUUGUUCUUCCAUGGGCAUAUUUUUGUGUAAAUUUAGGUAUGACUCAGAUGGCUGAAUUCGCUCAUUUAUUGAGGGGGACAAAUUACGGAUAAUGUAAUAAUCAAAGUUUUUGUUUCACACACUCAUGAUUUUGUAUUGCAGGUCAAUUCCUACCUUAAUAGUAAGGAAGAAAGCCACUAUAAGAAGAUUAUCUGGGAACAAAUGAAUAAGGAAUACGUUAAGGUGAAUAAGAUUUUCUGACAUUGGUAACUUUCAUCCAUGAUUUGCUGAAGCAGUUCGAGAACAAGCUGUGAAAUUAUUGAUGAGAAAAGAGUGUUAACUGCUAAAUGUUUUCAGGAACAAGCAGCUAAGGAAGUGGCUGCUGCUUUACGAGAUUGUGGUGAAGUUACAGAUGAUGUCCUUGCAGCACGGAAACUUGCAGCUGCAGCUGCUGCUGCUGUGGCAAAAUCAAGAGAUGUAAGUUGCUAUGUACGUAGUUGGUAUUUUCGAAACAUUAUCCUGGACAUAUUUAUCCCAAUCAAUUGGAACUUCUCUGGUGAUAGAAUGUCUGUGAAGCUUCUGUCUUGAUUUUUUUUCUCUCUCUAACUGCACCACCCCUCCCCCCUGGGGGCAACCAAGAGAGGGAGAAUAUAGUUCCAGGUUUUGACAGCAAUGGAUUACAAGCUAUGAAGUGGUGGAAAAUGUGCUAUAGAUCCUAUCAAAGUAGAGUUUGUUUAAGAAGCAUACAUAUCAUACAUGGAGAUAUCCAUUUUCAAGUGGACUUGAGUUUAUGUUACCUUUCAUCAACAAAUGUGUUCUUCUUUCGGAGAAGAAACAAACUCGAUCUUGUUUUGGUACUAGGAUAUCCUUGACUCUGACAUAUGUUGCACUGUAACUGGCUAUUUGUCAAAUUCUCAAUUACCUUAAAAUGCUUAGCAAAUAUUUUCAAAUGAAUGACAAUUGAAAAGUGAUUAAUUAAGGUAUUUGCAAUAUAAUAUUUGUGGUGGUUCUUGAUUAGUGAACUUACUACUGCUGCACCUUAUGGACUCCCAGCAACGAAAACUGAAGAGAGCUGAAUCUAAAAAUGCUGGCCCAGCUCCAACUGCUGCUGAAGCAACCCGUCAGAUGCUGAUGAAAAAGGUAUGCCACACGAGACCUUAUGGGAUUAGUUUAUGAAAGAUUAUAUAGCAGCAGACUCUUCUUGUUCUUUUCUUAUCCAAAAACUGUGAAAUAGGAUUAAGUUCUACUCAUAUUUUUUCUUUAUCACACUUCUUCAAGUUUUUCGGUUUUCUAUGUUUUGCAGGGGUUAAGUUCGAAAAUUAAUUAUGACGUUCUGGAGAAACUAUUUGAUGAGAGUGUAUGUCAAUCUAUAUGACUUAAUUCCUUUUACUAGCUUUCUUCUGGAAUAUAUCCCGUUGAUUGAUAGUCCUUAUCAUUUCAGUUAAUUUUAGCCAUCAAGACUAGCCUUUCACUUCCACUAUAUUUGGACAAGAUGCAAGUUACAUUGUGGCAGGAAAUGAUACUUCAUUCAACAAAAUUGAUUUCACAUGCCAGAACUAUAUGUGGUGGCCAUCUGUUUUUGAUUAACAUGAAAGCGAUAAUGCUUAACGAAGUUUUUGAUCCAUAACAACUAGUCUAAGAUAAAAGAAACGGUUAUUUUCCAGAACAUUUAAAAGGCUUUAACUUACAUAUAAGCAUAAUAUUUGUGUAUAAUGUAUAAUGAGAGCACAAAGUUACCUGAAUCAGAAAAUAAUCAUUUGUGGGGAAGAAAGAAGUCUGAUAUUCUAUUUUCUCCUCUUUUAGAAAUUCAAAGUUGGUUUUCUUCACCAAACAUUGUUGCUUAGGAGCAAAAUGUCAAGUUUCUGAUAGGAUCAUCUUAAAGUUUAGUGCAGAACAUGGGGAAAGAAUGGAGAUAAGGCUGUUUGGAUUGAAGUUGGACUGCUUAGCAGAUGUAGGAUAACUUAUAUGUAAUGUGGUUUUUGACAUCUAAUCGGUGCUCCUUUGUUUGAAAUAAUGAAAGAUCCAUUGUGUUAAGCUCUGUACUUUUUUUUCACUUGAUUAAGCUUUUUCUGUUAGAAAAGGUUUGGGCUCUGUAGAGUGGAUAGUCCAUUUUCGCUUCCCAGAUUUUGAAGACUAGUUAUAAAUCUUGCUUUCAUGCUUUCUCCGUUCCUGAAUGUGUGUUCUUUAAUGCGCUUUAAUUACAUCCUCUAGCAACUGUGGUAUUUUUAGUCCAUGAAAGAUUGCGCUACUCCAACAAUAAUUAUAAUUCAAAAACAUAAUAACAUUUCUUGAGUUCAAUCUUGUGGAUCAGUAUUGAGUCAAGUUUGAGCUUUAGGAAACGGGUUCACUUUGAAUUCGACCUAUGCCGAGUCUAGUUGAGCUACGUCGAACAAUCUCAAAACGAACCAACUGCAGUCGCAGGGCUGGAUAAUCUUUUUUCUGAUUAGGUAUUAGAUUCAGUUCUUCUCCUGUUCUAUUUGGUUUGGAAGGUUUGAUAUAUCAGCUUUGGUAAGGAGAAUGUAGUUUACUUCAUUACUGAUUUCGUUCAAAAUGUGUUUCUUUUGCCAGCCUUCGGUCCAAUUAUGGCUAGUGUUUCUUUGCUUGAUCUUAUAUUUUUAAGUUUGUAUUUAGUUCUCCUAGUGACUUGUACAAGAGUUUAUGUCUGUGCAGUCGCCUCCAAGCACCAAAAAGCCUCGUAUGGAACCUCCCCGCAAUGACCACAAUGCCUCUGGAAAAUAUGCAAACAAGAAGGAUAAUGAAGCAGAAUGAACAAUGUUAAUAAGCAGGAGCUGAACGAGGAUUAUAUGGAAGAUGAUAUUACCAUAGAAGUAGAUGAAGAGCAGGAUCAAAAUGAGGAAGACAUGUUCUAUUGUGAUGAAGAUGAUAAUGAUAAUUUUGAUGAAGAUUGAUUUUUUUUUUAUAGCAUCUUCAUAGUUUUAAAGGAAAGAGCAUGAUUCUUGUAAAAUUUUCAAUGCAUUCUUAAAUAUCCUCUCUUUCAAAAUGAGUUCUUUUUAGUAAUUAUUAUUGCACAGACUCAACACCUGUCAAUAAUCAAAUCUUAGUGUCACUUUUCUUUUAGAAUUAUUAGAGUUGAAAGAAAGAAAGAGGAAAACCUAGGCGUUUCCAUAGAAAAAUUUUUAAAGAAAGACAAAAAAAAAAGUUUUUUGUUUUUCAAAGAAAAACCAAGGUUAAGCAACAUGGUUAAAAAAGCUAAAGUCAAUUGUUGAAAAUUACUUUAUAAAUGUGUCUGUUAUCCGAAGAUAUAUUUAGGAAAAUUUGAGAGAGUGGAUUAUGGAGAGGAGACUACUCCUUUAGAAUUAGAAUGCUAUCCAAAUGCCGUGCCAAUGGGUGCAAGAAGGAUGCUACUUUCAAGUUUCAAGCUAAAGUUAAGGACUUAUAACCCAUUAAGCACUCUUCAAACACGCCAACAAGCCAUUAAACACGCCAACGCCAAUGACAACACAAUUGACUUAUAACCUGUUAAACACGCCAAUGACAAUAUAAAUAAUAUUGAUCAAGCCUUUUCUCCUUCUUCUUUUUUUCCGGAAAAUUGUAUUGGUGAAGAAAUUUCUAUAUUUUUGGGGUUCGGAGAUGUUGAUUCAUGUCUUAAUUCACCUUUUUAACUCAAAUGUUGGCCACAAAAUGUGAAGUCACACUAUGAUAUGGGAUUUUAUAAGUAGUCAUAUUGAAAAUUUUAGCUUGUAAAAUUCGAGGUCAAUUCACUAUAUUAAGACAACUUAUAAUUGUUUGAUACUGUCCCAUUUGCAACGAUCUGUACUAAUUUUCCAAGAUAUCAUCUUCGCAAACUAAUACAGACCCGGAGAUCACGAAAUUAGGAAAGACCAAUAGCUGCUUUUGUCUUAAAAUUUCUUUAAAUUGAAGCAAAAAUGUUCUUCCAGGAAAGAAAAACUGGAGGAGUUCGUGAGCCUCCAAUAGAAGGAAGAAAAGUUAGAUACUAUCAAAUGAUUUUUGUAUCUGCAUCUUUAGUUGAUAAAAUGAGUAUGAUGUUUGGAGAAAAAAAAAAUCAUUAGUGAUUCUCUGGUGGCGACACAAGCUUCGUCUCCAUAGGCAUUUUGAUCCGACUGUUGAAGUUAUAUGAACCAGACAUCCAACCGUAUGUGUCAUAUAGAAAAGAAAUGUCAAAAUCAGAUUUCAAUUUCUUGUCCUACAUUAUUCUUAAUAAUUUCUUCCAAAAAUUCUAUAUCGCUUGAAACGUUAUUGUUUCAUCAUUAAUGAGUCUUUUACUACAGACAAAAUAUUUGUCUUGACCAAUAAAUUUUCCUAAAUCCACUGGCAUUAUCAUGUUGUUAAUUGAGGAGGUGAUUUUCGGUUGGUACCUAGACCGACCUGGAUCAGUCCUCUCUGUGAUGAAGUGAGAUGAACUCUUGUGUCCGAAGUGAACCUCGGUGUCCGAAGUGAGUGGCGGGGCUUCACCCCUGGGAUCACUCCAACGAUCAAGUUAGUAUGAGAACGAGAAUAAUAAGAGUAUAAGCAAAUGAACAGUGUGCUUACUUGUUGGGAGUGUGUCUGGGGUAUUUAUAGAGGGAGAGUAGAGGACAGAGCGGAGGGCUUAUGCUUGUGGGACCCACCCUCUGGUCAUUACGGCUCUGUCCCGUGUCAGGAGGUCUGACUCUGACACUGUAGUUGCCUGGGCAUGAUGACGGGGAGUAUUGUGCAGGUGUCAUUAAGUGCCUCCAGUGCUUUUCAGAUAAAGCACUGGUCCUGGGUGAUGUCAGAUGGUUUGACGUCAUCAGCGUGCAGCUGAGGUGGGGGUGCCGAGGUCGGCUACACAGUAGGCUAGGGAAACGGCUGAGGCCGAGCUCAGGGAUGAUGCCCGGGACACGGAUGAGCUCUGAUGAGGGACGUGGUGAGUUCACCUCGGCCACUCGGGAUGGCCGAGGUGAGCAUCCUCAAUAAGCCCCCCAAGCCUCGGAUGCUCCGAGCAAGGGAGGUGCCGAGGCUUCCUUGUGCUGAAGUCAUGAAGAGUCGAGGUCCCGAAACCGCUCCGGAAGAUGCGGGGACGCGACACGUGGGCGAGUCAGUUGAUAGGACGUGGUCACUGGUAACCGUCGCGUCGUGAAGUAGUGGGACGUUUCGUGCAGUGGGUGUCAGCCGAAAGGACGGGGCAUUAAUGAAGAGAGAGAGACAGAAGGGCAGGUACUCAGUAUCUUGAAUUCGAAGAGUUGCCGCCUUUCCGUAUUCUGGCUGCCUCUUCGGGUUCUGGCCCCCUCCUAUAAAUAGGGGGUCCUUUUCACCGCAUGGCCCAUCAUUUUCUUCCUCUGCCUGGGACUUGCCAAAUUUACGUCUGUUGCCGAGAUCAAUCCUGCCAGCCGAAGUCACAGCCGAAGUCAUCCACUUCGUCCAGUUCCGUAGACAAUAGUAAGUAUCCCUUUUCUUUCUUAUCUCGCCUUUCACUCAUGGCCAAAACGGCUAAAACCCACAAGGAGACCGUGACACCGGGCUACCAGAUCGAGGUGAGGCCGAAUCCGGAGGAAGAAGCGACGACAUCCAGCUCGGAGGGGUCAACACCGAGUUCAGAGGGGUCGACCGAGGUGAGGGUCGGAGAGACAACCUCAGAGUUGGAGUCGUCCGAGAUGAGGGUCGGAGAGACAACCUCAGAGUUGGAGUCGUCCGAGAUGAGCGAAGAGGGUUCCAUGGUGGACUAUAACGAGGAGCUCGGCGUCGAGAUUCCGCACGAUGAGAACGUAUUGGAGCCCGUUGCUCCUAAGGAUGUGGUCAACAUUGACUUUGGCAAGAUGCCGAAGUUUAGGAGUCGCGUAGGACGAGAUAGGGCCCAGAAGGUAGUGAACAAGUACCCAUUCCGGCCGGGGUACGAAAUUCUGCCGCCCGAGGUGGAUGACACAGCCGCGAAGCCCCCCUACGGCAUGGUAGCCGUCUACGUUCAACAGCUGGAGGCCGAGCUGAGGAUGCCGACGUCGAGGUUCCUCAGGGAUUUGCUUCGUCACUUCGGUGUGAGGAUCACCCAACUCACCCCGAACGCGAUCCGCAUCAUCGUGGGGUUCGAGAUGCUUUGCCGACAUCAGGAGGUGACUCCCUCCGUCGACCUCUUCCGCCGAUGCUAUACUCUCAAGGCGCACGGGACGGAUAAAGGAUGGUUUUAUGUUGGCAAUCGAAACAAUGCCAUCCCGAAGUUGGUGAUCGGUGCUCCCAGCUCGAUCAAGAACUGCAAGCGCGACUACUUCUUCGUGUCCGGAGUGGACUUCCCGAGGGAUUUUUGGUGGAGGCCAAUUAAGGCGAAGGCCGACCCCUCGGCGGGGGAUGCCGAAGAGGAAUCCUUCCAGAAGUUGAUGAAGUCGGGACUUCGGCUGUUCAGCCAUGAUUACCCCGAAGCCGUGCUCGUGGAUGGGGGGAUAAGUCGAGCCGUGAUCAAUACUACCAAGCCUCCCUUCUUUUCCACUGAACUUGAGAUACCUUGUAAUUUUUCUUUCGUAACUUUGCUUUCACUUCGGUUAAGGCAUAUGAUAAUAUUUAUUUCUUGUUCAGUGACUAAACUGUCCGACCUCGUCGUCUCUGGCGCGUCCGAAGUGGCAAAGAGGCAGAAGAGGAAGAGCACUGACGAGACCUCAGCACCUCCGCCAAAGAAGAAGAAGUCACAAGGACCAACCGCUAAGACUUCGGCGCCUAAAGGCACUCCCACCAAGGUUGGCCAGAGCAGCUUGGCCACUGCGGCUACUGGGUCCACCUCAUCUGUACCAGAGGGAGUUCCCCUUGGAGUUGUUACAACAGUCACACCUCCUUCUGGCCGAGGCAAGCAGCUGAAGCCUCCAGUUAAUCCGGUGUCGGGGACCUCGCUAUGGAAUCGUUUCCAUAGCCCCCCAGUGUUUCCCGGAGACGAGAAGACGCACUCCGGCAAUCAUUGGUGUCCGAACUGGAAGAUUUCGGUCAACGACAGGUGCCAACAUCCUCGGGUCGCUCAAGAGCUAGUAAUGCACUCCACUCUGCCAAGGGAUUUGGAGUUCAUGAAAAAACUAAGCCCGGCCGAGAUGGUUCAAAGUCUGAUGGUGACCACGGCUUCCAACUCAGCUUUUGCGGCCGAGAUGGCUCACAGAUACUGUGCUCUGGUCGAGAAGCAGGACACCGGCAAGCUGCAGACUCAGAUCUCCAAGUUGGAGAAACAACUGGCGGUGUCCGAAUCCGAGAAGUCGGAGCUUCAGAGGCGACUUCAAGAGGCUGAAGCUAAGGGUGAGGAGGACGAGGCUACGAUGAAUAGUUUCAGAUCAGCCCUCGAGGAGGAGCAGAAGAGGGGGGACGAAGUGAAGAAGUCCCACGCACAAGCUCUCGAGGGUGCUGGAGCCUCGGCAGUGGAUGCGUUUCGAAGGUCCGAUGCCUUCAUCAAGGACCUCGGCCAACUGCUUACGCCUAACUUCAUGUUUGGCUUCACAUCGGCCAUUAAUGAGGCUGCGGCUCACCUCUCCUCCGAAACCUUGGAGUCUUUGAAAAACCAUGACAGCUACAAUGAGGACUCCAAGGAGUUAUGUGAUCGGAUGGCCGAAGGCAUUCAGGCAGGAAGGAAUUUGGCCGAAGUCUAGGUCGAGUUCAACAAGUGGCUGUCCGAACUCGACGAUGUGUUCGAGGAGGUGGAAGUAGAAGAAGUUGGAGGAGAGGACGCUGAGGGAGACGAAGCCGCCGGGGACGAAGUCGGAGGGGACAUCGGCAAAGAGCAUUGAGAUGAACACCCCGGCGGAAAAGAGGCCGAAGAGGAGGCUGUCCAGGAGGGAGCCAAGACCGGGAAUGGAGUCGAGACGGGGGUCUAGGCUCAUAGGCUUCGCGGGGGUGGUCGAGGUGGAGAGUGCUUAGCAGCAUUCGGACCUCGGCCUUGUAUUUUUUGUAACGCUCUUUUCUGUUGAAUGAAAUCUAUUCCUUCUGUUCUCAGCAUUUCAAUUUCUUGUUUUGACUUCUUCCCUUGCUUGUCCCCCUUAUUUUUUAACUGCGUAAUAACGAUGUUGAAAAAUAACAUAAUAGCCGAAGUCAUAGCUUGACAAGAUAACUGGAUAAAGUCAACUUUGAUGAAAUAAUUGAAUGAAGUCAUAACUUCAAGCAUAAUACAACCUAAGGUUCUCGGCGUGCCAAGACCUCGGCACUAAUGAGCCAUCUCGGUAGCUCAGUUUACAAUACCUCUUAGGGUCAGAUUCCACAACUCGGUAAGGGCCUUCCCAUUUCGGGCAUAAUUUCCCUUGCGGCUCAACUCGGCUGACUGAAUUUUUCCUGAGAACCAAGUCUCCAGGACGGAAUCUACGAUGUCUGACACGGGCAUUGUAAUAAUGUGUCAGUGUAUUCUUGUAUGAAGCUAUCCGGGCUGAGGCGAGGUCCCUUCGUUCUUCGACGAGGUCGAGGUCCAGCUGCCUCUCUUCGUCGUUCACCUCGGCGGCAUAGGCUGCCAGCCGAGGGUUGGGAGUAAGGAUCUCAGCCGGGAUGACAGCCUCGGCGCCGUAGGUCAGGGAGAAUGGGGUCUCUUGCGUCGCUGACCUCGGCGUGGUCCGAUAUGACCACAAGACACUGGGGAGUUCCUCCACCCAAGAUGACCCAGCUCGGUGUAGUCGGGUCUUGAGGCCAUACAGGAGAGUCCGGUUGAAGUUUUCUGCUUGACCAUUGGCCGAGGGUGGCCUACCGAAGUGAAGUGUUGUUUGAUGCCGAGGGUCUCGCACCAGGUCUUGAAGGGGUUCUCGGCAAACUGUCUCCCAUUGUCCGAGAUGAUGAUCUGAGGUAUGCCGAAGCGGCAGACAAUGCAUUUCCAAAAGAAUUUUUGAAUGGCCAGCCCCGAGAUGGUCCGAAGUGACUCGGCCUCGACCCACUUAGUGAAGUAGUCCACAGCAGUCACCAGGAAGGUAUAGCCCCCGACCGCUUUAGGGAAAGGACCUAUGAUAUCUGUCCCCCAUUGCUCGAAUGGCCAAGGUGAAGUGAUGGGGACCAUGAAAUUUGAGGGCUGGUGAUGCUCGGGUGCGUGGACUUGGCAGGAAGGACAGCUGAGAGCGAGGUCCUGGGAGUCUUGCCGAAGUGAUGGCCAGAAAUACCCAAGAAGCAUAGCUUUCUUGGCUAACAUCCGGUGGUCGACGUGAGCCCCACAUAGGCCUUCGUGGAUCUCGUGGAGGACGUGACGUCCGGCCUCGGGAGUGACACACCUCAGCCAUGGGUCGAGGUAAGAGCGUUUGUAUAGUUCUCCAUCGCGGAGAGCGUACCGAGCCGCCUUGCGUUGUAUUCUUCUCGCCUCGGCUCGGUCUUCAGGGAGUGUUCCCUGACUCAAGAAGAGGAUGAACGGGGUCAUCCAGGUAUCUUCGGAGUGCACGGGGCAGGCCACCUCUUCCACAUAUCCGGGUUCACUCAGAACUUUCACUAAAAUCGUUUUGUUGAGGUCAGAGAAUGAAGUGGAGGCCAGCCGGGAUAAGGCGUCGGCUCGCUUAUUCUGGGACCGGGGGAUUUUUUGGAUUUCGAAUGACUUGAAGUAUGCGGUGAGUUGGUGAACUUUGGAGAGGUACCUUUGCAUGGUCUCAUCCUUAGCCUCGUAUUCACAGAGAACUUGGCGUACCACGAGCUGGGAGUCACUGCGGACGUGGAUUUGUUGGGCGCCGAGCUUGCGGGCUAACUGGAAUCCAGCGAUUAGAGACUCGUACUC